rnacentral:rRNA from 1 species
CCCCUAGACGUUCUGGGCUGCACGCGCGCUACAAUAAUACGCACAGCGAGUAUCACCGAGCUCGAAAGGGCAAGGUAAACAAUAGAAAAGGUACUGUAAUGGUUAUAGAUCCUUGUAAUUAUUGAUCUUCAACGAGGAAUUCCUAGUAAGUAUGUGUCAUCAUCACGCACUGAUUACGUCCCUGCCCUUUGUACACACCGCCCGUCGCUCCUACCGAUUGGGUGAGCUGAUGAAACUCUCGGAUGUAGGCUAUUCAUAGCCCGCAGAAGAGAUUUGAAUCGUAGCGCUUAGAGGAAGGAGAAGUCGUAACA